rnacentral:rRNA from 1 species
CUGCAGCCCGAGUGGUGGUCGAUUUUAUUGGGCCUAAAACAUUCGUAGCCGGUUUGGUAAAUGCCUGGGUAAAUCGUGUAGCUUAACUAUACGAAUUCCGGGUAGACUGCCAAACUUGAGACCGGGAGAAGCUAGAGGUACUCCUUGGGUAGAGGUGAAAUUCUGUAAUCCUAGGGGGACCACCAGUGGCGAAGGCGUCUAGCUAGAACGGGUUUGACGGUGAGGAAUGAAGCCCUGGGGCGCAAACCGGAUUAGAUACCCGAGUAGUCC